GGAGAAAUGGCCGAGUGGUCGAAGGCGCUCCCCUGCUAAGGGAGUAUAGGGUAACUCCUAUCGAGGGUUCGAAUCCCUCUUUCUCCG
rnacentral:tRNA from 1 species